ACACUUCAGGAUCUAUUUGUUUUCUUUGCUGCUGAAAUCCUAUAUCACUAUUAACUAGAAUUCAACCCCAAAUGGUAGAGAUUUGAGCUUUCUUCUGGAGUUUUGAGUUGCAUAUUAGCUGCUGAAAUCCUAUAUCACUCGUUUAUAAACAAAUGGAAUAAAGAAAGCAUAAGCUGUUCUGCCAGUUUUUGGUGAUUACUAAUUCUAAUCUACUUUUAUGGAUAUCUAUAAAAUCAUGCACCUUUCCACAGCAUACCAAAGGCAUUAAAAGUAAGCUUACGAGCAUCAAUGGAAGGUUUUCUUGAUGCUUUUAUGGAGCAAGUAACCGCCUUUCCGAAUGAUGUUAGAGAAGACCUUAGAUGUUCUAUGGCUUAGGAUGCAGAGACUAUCAAGAACGAGAGCUGAAGCAUCAAUAAAGAUCCAAAAUGUGUGGAACUAUCAAUAAAUGCAGACAAAGACAAAUUGCAAGCACAGCUACCUAAGGAUAUACCAUUGGAUUUUCAGAAAAAGGUUAUUAUAGCCAAACAUGAGAAGCAAGAAGCCAACUCUGAUAUUUUGUUGGGAAAAAAUGAAACUUACAAGCGUCUUAUGGGUAUGUAAACAGUGGGAAUUAACUGCUUAUGCAAAAAUGGUUAACUGAAUUCUUUCUUCAAGAAGCAUAGUGUAUGGUAGUUGAACCAUGUUUUGAACAUAUAUGUCUUCUAUCAAUGGUCUAAUGGCAAUUCAUAGAAAGUUCUUAGCCCUAGUUGAACAUUUAAAAUUGAUUACCUCCAUUUUCCUGAUUUUAGA